rnacentral:lncRNA from 1 species
GGACUGAAGUAGGGGAGAGGCUUCCCUAAAAGAAUGGGCGUCAGGUUGACAGAAGGACAGUGAACAGAUGAAGGACAGUGAACAGAUGCUGGGCAGCGUACAUGGCUAUGUCCCAACAAUGCCUUUCCCAUUAAAAAGAUAUUUUUGAAGAUGGGCCAUAAAACAUGAAGGGACCAAUAAACCAGGCCAGUGGAAACAUUCCAGAGUUGAAAAUCCUCUGUGGAACAAGCUUACCUACAUGUGGCCAGUCCUUCCAAGUGGCCAACUUAAUGAGGAGUUUGACUGGCCAAUAGAAGGCCUGCUUGUUCCGAACAGUCCUCCCAUGAAGAAACCCAUCUAUAAGACACCAGAGCAAUAUGUUCCUGUGAGACUCAGAGUUUUGCGGAAUGGAGAUAAAAAUAAAAACAGAGCACUAAUUAUAAUUGGUCCAGACAUCUCACCUAGACGGAAAACACAAAAUGUUGACACUGAAAGGAAAGAGAAUGUGAAAAUCCAUGUCACUCAAUAUUCUGAAACAGGAACAAACCAGGCUGAAUUUCACCAACUUUUGGAGAGGUAAAUAUUUAAUAUUUUAAAUGCAAAGGUAUUUUCCAUUCAAAUGCUUGAAUGAUUACGUAUAAAGCAUCGCACACAUCAUGUCUAUGUACCUUCAUUAGAAAACAAUUGUUAAUACAAUGAUUCUGGAGUUUUUAAUCUGUGAAAUACAUAAACUAUGUGACAGUCUGUGAUACCAAUGCUAAUAAAUCUAUUUAUUUUUUUCAAAUGUCAGGGUCUAGCAAGUUCCUCUUACCAACUCUGUAAAUAUAAAUUAUUUACAUCUUUAUAUAUUUCAUAGUGUUAUACCAUUUUAUUUGGUUUAUAUUUG